UACGGGGGGGGGUAAGCGUUGUUCGGAAUUACUGGGCGUAAAGGGCUCGUAGGCGGCCAACUAAGUCGGACGUGAAAUCCCUCAGCUUAACUGGGGAACUGCGUCCGAUACUGGAUGGCUUGGAUUUGGGAGAGGGAUGCGGAAUUCCAGGUGUAGCGGUGGAAUGCGUAGAUAUCGUAAGGAAGACCAGUGGCGAAGGCGAGUCUCUGGACAGUUACUGACACUGAGACACGAAAGCGUGGGGAGCAAACAGGA
rnacentral:rRNA from 1 species